rnacentral:rRNA from 1 species
UUCUUCGGAAUUAGAGACCGGCGCACGGGUGCGUAACGCGUAUGCAAUCUACCUUUCACAGAGGGAUAGCCCAGAGAAAUUUGGAUUAAUACCUCAUAGUAUAGCAGUUUCGCAUGAAACCACUAUUAAAGUCACAACGGUGAAAGAUGAGCAUGCGUCCCAUUAGCUAGUUGGUAAGGUAACGGCUUACCAAGGCAACGAUGGGUAGGGGUCCUGAGAGGGAGAUCCCCCACACUGGUACUGAGACACGGACCAGACUCCUACGGGAGGCAGCAGUGAGGAAUAUUGGACAAUGGGCGCAAGCCUGAUCCAGCCAUGCCGCGUGCAGGAUGACGGUCCUAUGGAUUGUAAACUGCUUUUAUACGAGAAGAAACCCUCCGACGUGUCGGAGCUUGACGGUAUCGUAAGAAUAAGGAUCGGCUAACUCCGUGCCAGCAGCCGCGGUAAUACGGAGGAUCCAAGCGUUAUCCGGAAUCAUUGGGUUUAAAGGGUCCGUAGGCGGUCAGGUAAGUCAGUGGUGAAAGCCCAUCGCUCAACGGUGGAACGGCCAUUGAUACUGUCUGACUUGAAUUAUUAGGAAGUAACUAGAAUAUGUAGUGUAGCGGUGAAAUGCUUAGAGAUUACAUGGAAUACCAAUUGCGA